GCGAUGUGACGAAAGAAAUUCAUUGUCUGUCAAUCCGCUGAUACUUGCGUGAUGUACACAUGAAUCUCGACAGGCUCUGAUCGC